rnacentral:rRNA from 1 species
GAAGGAGGAGGCAAGCGUUAUCCGGAAUUAUUGGGCGUAAAGCGUCCGCAGGUGGCGAUUCAAGUCUGCUGUCAAAGGUCGGGGCUUAACCCCGGGAAGGCAGUGGAAACUGAAUAGCUAGAGUGCGGUAGGGGCAGAGGGAAUUCCCGGUGUAGCGGUGAAAUGCGUAGAGAUCGGGAAGAACACCAGUGGCGAAAGCGCACUGCUGGGCCUGCACUGACACUGAGGGACGUAAGCUAGGGGAGCGAAAGGG